rnacentral:lncRNA from 10 species
CGGGAGGCAGGCCUGGCACCAGUGCCCAUGGUGAGGAUUGGGAUGGGUUGAGUGAAGGUGGUCCUGUGGAGCUUUCAGGCUAAGUCCUGCAUGGACUGGAGUGACCACUGGAGGGCAGCAGAAGUACAGUCAAGAAAGAUUAGUGGUUGUAGCAAGGCCCUCUGUAGCCUGAGAUCUGCUUUUUUCUAGAUCAUCUUUGCUAAGGAUGGGCAUUUUGCCCUGGAGGAGCUGGCCCAAGCUGGCUAUGAGGUGGUUGGGCUUGACUGGACAGUGGCCCCAAAGAAAGCCCGGGAGUGUGUGGGGAAGACGGUGACAUUGCAGGGCAACCUGGACCCCUGUGCCUUGUAUGCAUCUGAGGUAACAGCCAGGGCCCCUCUGUGUGUCUGUUACUGUGCACUCCUGUGGCUGUGGCUGUAUUAUUCUGUGUGCACUUGUUUUUAAUGUCUGUCUGUCCUUUUCUUCUACUCUGUACAACAUAAGCCCUAGAAAGACCGGACUUUUUGUUGCUGUUGUUCAUUUGUGUUUAUGCUUCAUGCCUGGGUCCAUACUAGGGAUCUGAUAAAUUUUAUUGAAUGACUGAAUAACACUGAGUAGAAGCAUGCCUACAUAUGCGUUUGUCACUAGUAUAUAUAGGGAGGACAAAGGCUUGCUGGUCCUCCUGUAGCCAGUGCCCUGUUGGUCCCCCAGGAGGAGAUCGGGCAGUUGGUGAAGCAGAUGCUGGAUGACUUUGGACCACAUCGCUACAUUGCCAACCUG